AUUAACCCACGUUGUUCUGAUGUACCCGGAGGCCAUUCAUUUUCACUGUUUUAUAGUAUCCCAAUAUAUGACUGAAACAAUCAGUGAAAAUUCUAGGCCAUUAUCUCUUCAAGUAUUACUUCUGCCCUGUUAUCUCCCUUUUCUCCAAUUACACAUAUAAUAGACCCUUUUACCUCUUUACUAUAUCCUGUAUGUCUUCUAUACUCUUUUCUAUAUGUUUUAUUCAUUUGUCCCUCCAUGCUUUAGGUUGCUUAUUUUCUUCUCACUUAUCUUCUAGUUUACCAAUUUGUUCUUUAGUCGUGUCUAAUUUGCUGUUGAAUCUAUCCAUUGAGUUUUCUUUUUUGACUAGUAUACCUUUUAGUUAGAAUUCCUAAAUUUUUUUGUAGUGUCUAGUUUUCUGACAAAAUUCUUAAUCCUGUCAUUUUUUUUUUUUUUUUUUUUUGAGCUUAGGCAGCAUAUUUCUUUUGAAUUCUCUUUUUCUUAUCUGGAUUCACUGAGGAUCUGUUUCUGCUAUUUAUUGCUUAUUUUGUUAAUUUAUCAAAAGUGAUCAAGUGAAUUUAUCACUUCAUGUGUUUAUUUCUCUGUAAUUGAGUGUUGUAUAUUAGCUUUUAAGAUUAGUAGAAAUAGUUUGAGGCUUAAGAUACAAUUAUCUUUAUUCAGAGAAGAUUUGCCUUGGCAUCUAGUAGGCAGAUAAAAAUUCUAGCAAUCUUAGAUCAUUUAAAUACAUUUAUUUCAUUUUUAGGUGGAUUCCACUGGGAGAAAAGAGGAUCUAAAUGCCAGGCUCACCCCUCACAUUCUAUUCAACUGCACAGGAUAGAAUGAUACAUCCCUCUCUCACAAGAGCUCCCUGGAAACUGCAGAGGAAUCACCAUCUUCAGCAAGCUUUAUCAAGAAUGCAUUCAUGAGAUUCCCACUUUAAACAUCCAGCCAAGCACUUUUAUGUCUGUCACAGAGGCUUUAAAGGAGAGGCUGGAGAGUUCUCAUUUUCAGCACCAUCUCAGCUGUCGGUAUUUCCCAAACCUGCACUGAUGUCUGAGAAUCCACAUCAAAACUUUUGCAUUUGUCCUCAAAGAAUGUCACAACUAUUAUUCUGAAAUGCUCAUUGCAUCUAUUUCUAGGGAUGGUAAUGAUGACUCUGUACGGACUAAGAUAGGAUUAAUAACAAUGCAGAGUUGAACUCAAUUAUCAAGCUCUGGAUAUUUAAUUGUCUUAUUGAGAAAAUCUGAAAUUGGAGGGGCAUAAAAACAUGAAACUCUUUUACUUUUUUUCUCCUUGUCACCCUUUAAUGAGAUUUAUGGGAGACUUAAAACUUUCCUGUCACUUUUGUAUUGAAAAAAGUCCAGUCUGGCCUAGAUUAGUUUAGAAUUUCAGUUUCAUUUUUUAUCUAAAACUCCUUUUUUUUUUUUUUUUUUUUUUUUUAAGAUGGAGUCUUGCUCUGUCACCUAGGCUGCAGUACAGUGGUGCAAUCAUGGCUCACUGCAGCCUCAACCUCCUGGGCUCAAGCAGUCUUCCUGCUUCAGCCUCCCAAGUAGCUGGAACUACAGGCAUUUGCCAUCAUAACCAGCUAAUUUGUUUUUUUGUAGAGAUGGUGUCUUGCUAUAUUCCCCAUGCUUGUCUGAAACUCCUGGUCUUAAGCAAUUUUCCCACCUCAGCCUCCCAAAGUGCUGGGACUACAGGCAUGAGCCACCAUGCCUAGCCUCUUGUCUAAAACUCUUAUCCUUCCCUCACUGAUCAGCCUUGAAUUGUAUGUGGAGGUAAAGAUGUUCCUAGAUUUAUCAAAAUAACAAAACAAAAACAAAAAUAAAAAUUGCCCAUUUAAAUUUGAAUUUCAGAUAAACAACAUUUUUUUUAGUAUAAGUAUACUCCAAAUAGUGCCUGUAGCAUACUUUAAAUUUUUUUGUUUGAGUAUCUGAAAUUCAAAUUUAAUGGGUCAUCUUGUAUUUCCUUUGGUAACAUAUUCUAUUAUUAUAGCCUCUGGAUCCUCUGGGGUCUUUGGUGGGUGGUGGUGAAAAUAAAUGUGUAUCUUUUGUGUAACUGAGCACAAGAUUAUAAACAAUUCCUUCUUCAUUGUUUCUCAGGGUUCUGCUGUGUUGCCCUGAGUCACCGAUUUGCUACAAAUAUUUGAGCCUCAGGCUUCUGUUGGCCUGGAAACUUAAAUACUUGAUGAAUCAGAGGAAACUUCAGGAUAACUGGGUCCAGGAUUUCUGGGACAGUCUCUUUUCUUACGUGAAAACAUUCAGAGAUGUUCUUUAAAAUAAUAUUGGCCAAUAUUGUUAAGAAAACUACACAUUUGCAUGUUAAUAUUAAUUUUAUUUUUAAUCACGUGAUGAAUAAUUAAAUCUUGAAAUCACUUUUGGACUACUGACAAUUUUAUUAUCAAAACACUUGAAUGAGCUGAUGGUGCUUGUAAUUUUAAAUGAAGCCAGCACCUGAAGGCCUCAGAUAAAAUCUGUAUUUCUUCACUCUGUCAAAUGAUGGGUAGUAUACCAAAGUCACAAAGACAUUUUUCUGAGUCCAGAAAUAAGAUAUUCUUCAUCACAUUGAUUUCUGGUGCUGCUUAUUUUGCACUUUUGAACUUGUAAUUUAAAUAGUUAUCACAUGUACAGAUACAUACAGAGGUAUGCUAUAUAUAUAAAAUGCAUAUAAAAUAUUCCUAUUUUUUGAGGCAUUUUAACAAACACAAACAAAGACCAAGACAAUAUCAUCUCUCUACCAACAGUGAAUGGGCUUUCCCUGUAACCGGACAUACUGGUGUUCAGAUAUUUAAAAUAGGGUUUAAUGUUAGAUUGUUAAUACUUCAACUGGGAUUUGAAAUACAGAUGCAUAUGAGAUGGAUUCCUUAUGACCUGCCUACCAGGUUGAGCUCAGAUGGUUUUUUGGUUAUUGUUGUUGUUGCCAUGGGAAGGGUACAAUGGUAGGAUGAAAUCAUCAGGGAGAUAAAUUGAUAUACAGAUGAAGCUUGGGCCAUGUAAUAAUAACUAAGUACCUAUGAUAUAGAGUUGUUUCAACUAAAUAAGUUUGAAUAUAUUAAAACACUUUGGAGAAUGUUAACUAUUAUAGCCAAACAUAAUUAUUUCAUGUUUUACAAUUCUGUUUCUCUCUAUUUUAAUAUAAAUAUUGACCUAAUAAUCUGUGCAUGGCAGGAAUUCUUAUUUUAAAAAUUUGCAAAGAUUUAAGGGGACUUUCUAAAAAGUUCUUGGAAGCCUUAUGGGUCUAAUUAUGCCCACUGAAUAGAAUGCAAUUUUCUAAAAAUUUUCUUUGGAGCAAUGCAGAUUUUAGUGAAUAAUAUGUUUUAGUGAAAAGUUUGAAGAUUUUUUUAUUGAGAAACAAUAUUACAAAUUAAUUAAAACAUAUUCCUGGGCACCCUUAAAUAAAUAUAGUGGAAUAAAGUACAAGAUAAAAAUCUACUUAAACACAUAAUUAGCUUGGCUAAUCUUUCUUCUCCCUAUUCUUUCUUCUCCCUAUUCUUUCCUUCCUAAUUGUUAUAAUAUUGACAAUGUUAUUUUUUCAUAGAUUUCUAUUAAAGAUUUUUUUCCCAUAUUGUAGAGAUAAUGGUCACAGAUGUUAGUAGUUCCUGAUUCCUUAUCUCUCCAAACUUUACCUUGAUAUUGUGAAUAAAUUUCACAGAAUUAAUUUCAGAAUAAAAAGAGAAAAAACCAUAAUUUCUGGUCAUGUUUUUAUGCCUGUUUGUGGUUUGUAACCCCAUAAGUUGUCAAACUUUGUGUUCAGUUUACAGAUUUUGAAUACAAAUAAAAAAUUACACAUACUGUAUGAUUUUUAGUUCUGUGACUUAUAAUUGAUACACAUUCAAGUGUUGGUGGAUAUAUAUAAGUAUAUAAUAAGUAAAUAUAUAUGUGUGUGUUUAGGUACAUUUUAAAAAC
rnacentral:lncRNA from 10 species